GACGAGCGCUGGCGGCGUGCCUAAUACAUGCAAGUAGAACGCUGAAGGAGGAGCUUGCUCUUCUGGAUGAGUUGCGAACGGGUGAGUAACGCGUAGGUAACCUGCCUGGUAGCGGGGGAUAACUAUUGGAAACGAUAGCUAAUACCGCAUAACAGUAGAUGUUGCAUGACAUUUACUUAAAAGGUGCAAUUGCAUCACUACCAGAUGGACCUGCGUUGUAUUAGCUAGUUGGUGGGGUAACGGCUCACCAAGGCGACGAUACAUAGCCGAACUGAGAGGGUGAUCGGCCAAACUGGGAGUGAGACACGGCCCAGAGUCCUACGGGAGGCAGCAGUAGGGAAUCUUCGGCAAUGGACGGAAGGCUGACCGAGCAACGCCGCGUGAGUGAAGGAGGUUUUCGGAUCGGAAAGAUCGGUUGUAAGAGAAGAACGAGUGUGAGAGUGGAAAGUUCACACUGUGACGGUAUCUUAACAGAAAGGGACGGCUAACUACGUG
rnacentral:rRNA from 1 species